CUAACAUUCUGUGAGCCUUGUAUUCUGAAUGUGGUAGAGAAAAGCACUGCCUGUAUAUGCAGUAUUGGCCUGACCCCCAACGCGGAACAGAACUAAUGGAUCAGUGUUGAGAGAAUUACGUACAUCGCACAGUGACAGCCUCCGACCAGAAGCCCGGCUUUAUCUGCAGGCCAAGGUUCUCCCAGCGCCCAUGGUGGAAACACUGGAUCCGGGACCUCCUUAGAUGAUCUGUCUCUUGGUGAUUCAAGUCCUCUUGCUUUUGCAGUGUUCGUGUUUCCUUCUCAUACUCAAUCUUCAAUGCUACAACCAAUGACUUGGGACACACCUGCUGCUUUUCUGAGAAUCUCAGAAUGAAGCGUUGUAUGUGAUGUGGGGACUCCAACCAUACGCUUAGAAUUCUAUUUUGGACAUUUGCAUAACUGGAUGAGCUUAUCAGUCAAGAAAGGGACAUUGG
ensembl:lncRNA